CCCCGUAUUCCCGGCUGUGCUGGGGAUGGUUCUUGUUUUCUAACCAGGUUAAUCAUUGCCUAAAGAAUCUAAUCGUAUUGGUUUUUCAGAAGGUUUUGGGACCGUAAACGUGGUGUGUACAUGGCGGUGAAGAUAUUUACAUAAUUGUGCAGAACGUAACCUUUAGAGUCCAAGGGGUAAGACUUUUUCGGGUGUCAGAUAAGAACGUUUCCUGUUUCAAAACCUCUCCAGGCUGCGUUAGAAUAAAGUUUAUUUUCAUGCACGUGAAGGCGGCGUCUGGCUCUGUGCGAGACCUGGGUCUCACACACGUCUGGCUCUGUGUGACGGACCUGGGCCCUGCCCUCCGCAGCGCAGCCUGGGCCCUCGCCCGCGGGCGGGCGGGGAGACUGGAUCCCCGGUGGCACAGGCCUGGCCCUGCCCGCUCCUGCACUUCUCGGCUUGAUGGCGGUUGUCAACCAGGGCUCUCUCAGACACACACGUUUUAAUCAGGAGGGCUGUGUAUUGGGUUCCUUGGCCCCAAAGGCGUGGGGUGGGGGGCAGCAGAAAUGCCUGGACCAGGGGGCUCUGCCGGGAGGGCUCUCCGGGCCGCUUGGGGUGGCAGGGCCCUAAGCGAGCUCCAGCUGAAGGUGACGGAGUUAUUUAUCAUCCAGACCAGGAGGCUUUUAAGAGCAAAAGGAGGUGCUAUUAAUGAUCACGCCAGGCAACAGGCCUGAGCGGAGACGUCCAGGCAAAGCGGAACAUGCGGUCACCUUCCUAACAAAAGGGAUUAGACUCUGUGACAUCACAGACACAGACUAGCAUUUGAGGUUUCUGCCCUAAUUGUAGGUUCUGUAGACACGCCGGUGACCUAUCCUGUAUCCGGUUUGAUUUUCCCCUCUGUGACAUCGCAAAACCAGCACUUCUCUGUAGAAUCACUGAGGUGAUCCUCUUGGGGGCUCAGCAUGACCCCACGGGGAAACCAGCCAGGUGUGGGCACUAGCUGGUGCCCCCGCACCGUGUAGCACUUCCAGCCAGGCGGGCUGGACUAUUUUCCUGGAUGCCCAGACGCCCCUCUAGGUGGGAGCGCUGCUGUGGCUUGAACGCACUGUGCUCCUAGUGGGAACCAAACUGCUUCCUGCAUUUCUCACGCGACUUGGGCAAGGACACAAACACCAGUGUGUGGGUUUAUUCCAGAGGGAGAUGUGUACUUGUCGGCCGCUCUCCUUUGUGUGAAGACAAUGACAACGGGUGAAAUUACCGGAUAGAAUAUGAGAAUGUGAAAUAAUGCUGUGAAAUCCCAGAGUCUCCUUUAUUCUAUUCAAAAAGAUGAAUAAACAGAUGUGAAAAACAA